UGUCCCUUUUGAUGAGAAGAAUAAGCCUCAUUCUGAUUCAACAGCAGAGAUCAAAGAAAAGACUUCUGUUUUCUGGCCACCAGAUAUAUGUUAUCUGUGCUUAAAGAAUUGAAAAACACACAUCAAAGGAGAAUUUUCUUGGAAAGAGAGGGUUCAAGCAUCACUGUUAGGUGUGCUGGAAUCCUUUCCCGAGUCAGUACUGCUUUCUAGAAGAAAACCGGGGAGAUCUAUUUGGAAUGUAUCUAACUCCAAAGAAACCAUCAGAGGUAACAGUAGAGACGGGGUUUCACCAUGUUGGCCAGACUGGUCUUGAACUCUCGACCUCGUGAUUCGCCCGCCUCGGCCUCCCAAAGUGCUGGGAUUACAGGUGUGAGACACCACACCCGGCGGAUAGAGAGAAUUUUGACAGAUUGGCUUCUCUCACAUGGCAAGAAACAUUGCUGCUAGCACUUCCCGAGUUCUACGUUCUACAACAUCCACCACUGGAUCUUAACAUAGACGUAAGAUCAAAUGCAAUAGCAUGUCAAACAAUGUGUAACUCCAGUUAUACAAACAUUACUGUAUCUCAUUGGGGAUACGAAGCUCUACACACUUGAAGAUGGUGAAGGAAUAUAAAAAUCUAUGUCUCACAGUCCAGACUUGGAGUACAAGUAAUAAGAAGAAUAAAACUUAAUCCCU
rnacentral:lncRNA from 10 species